AGGAAGGAAGGAAGAGGUGGAGGAAGAUAAGAAUAGGAGGAGAAGAAACAAGGAAUGAAGAGAAAAAAAAGAACUCCCUGAACUGCGACCUCACUGUGAUCCAAGAGGAGGUGGCCACUGAACACUUGAGGAAAGUCAAGUCAAGAGUCCCUGAAUGCUGCUAAGGAGACACACUGCUGCCAGGAACAAUGCACCAUCAAGCUAAGCCAAGCCAAGCCACGCCACAACACAGCACAAGCCUUCUACAAGACCUGGAGCCAUCAACAACACCCAGAGUAACACACAACACCUGGAGCCAUGAAGAACAGUUAGGAUAGGUUAGGCAGUUUGGCAUGUUUUUUUUUAGGGCAUUUUAAGACAAGUUUGGCAUGUUUUUCAGGGCAUUUUAAGACAGUUUGGC